CGGGCGAGGNGCCGGUCUAAGUCUCUUGGAACGGGGCGUCGUAGAGGGUGAGAAUCCCGUAUGUGACCGGUGACUGAGCCUAUGUGAAACUCCUUCGACGAGUCGAGUUGUUUGGGAAUGCAGCUCAAAAUGGGUGGUAAAUUUCAUCUAAAGCUAAAUACUGGCCAGAGACCGAUAGCGCACAAGUAGAGUGAUCGAAAGAUGAAAAGCACUUUGGAAAGAGAGUCAAAAAGUACGUGAAAUUGUUGAAAGGGAAGCGCUUGCAACCAGACCUGCCCGCGGGUGAUCAACCGUCCUUCUGGGCGGUGCACUCGCCCGCGAUCAGGCCAGCAUCGGUUCGGGCGGUCGGAUAAAGGCCUUGGGAACGUAGCUCCUCUCGGGGAGUGUUAUAGCCCUCGGUGCAAUGCGGCCAGCCUGGAUCGAGGACCGCGCUUCGGCUAGGAUGCUGGCGUAAUGGUCGUAAGCGGCCCGUCUUGAAACACGGACCAAGGAGUCUAACAUCUAUGCGAGUGUUUGGGUGUCAAGCCCAUACGCGUAAUGAAAGUGAACGGAGGUGGGAACCCGUUAGGGCGCACCAUCGACCGAUCCAGAUGUCUUCGGAUGGAUUUGAGUACGAGCAUAACUGUUGGGACCCGAAAGAUGGUGAACUAUGCCUGAAUAGGGUGAAGCCAGAGGAAACUCUGGUGGAGGCUCGCAGCGGUUCUGACGUGCAAAUCGAUCGUCAAAUUUGGGUAUAGGGGCGAAAGACUAAUCGAACCAUC
rnacentral:rRNA from 1 species